AAUCAAGGCCACAUCAAGGCUACCGUUAUUAUUCUAGUCUUCACGGUUUACAAACACUAAUGUCAAAGCGGAAAGAACUCUUUAAAUUCAACAUUAUUUAAAUAUUUUAACAGUGAGCCAAUGAGUGAAAAUUUUGAGUUUGCAGAUUAUUCGUAGUUUGUUACUGCUUAGAUCUUACUUUGUUUUAAUAUGAUCAUUUCAUCAACCAUAUAAACAAAACAAGUAAAAGUGAUGGCAACGUUAAUUGAAGCUGUAAAGCGACAAGCUCUAUCAACUUUUUCUAAAAAUUGUUCUAGCGUAUACUUUGAAGAAAACUUGAGCAAGUUAAGAUUGUUAGCUAGUAAAUUAACCUCAAGUGAUGUUGAACUUGAUAAAUCUUUAUUACUUAAUAGUGAUUUACCCAAUACUAAUAUAAAAAGUUCAAAAUCAAGGUUAGCCCCAGUGACAUAUAUAGAGGUUUUUGAAAAUCCAGACAUUACUAUUGGUAUUUUUAUUUUGAAGAGUGGAGCCAGACUUCCUUUACAUGAUCAUCCACUGAUGUAUGGAAUACUAAAGGUGAUACAUGGUAAAGUUCGGAUUCAUAGUUACUCACCUCUAUCAAGAGAGGAUUUGACCGAGGAACAAGCUUCUGAAACUAGCUUUGUUGAUAGGUGUGGUAAGCAGUACAGUUCACAUGAUGCUGAUACAUCACCAACCGAUCUAUUCAGGCAAGCUUGUCUUUUUGCUGUGAAAGAACCAGAAUUAUAGUUGAUCAGUCUGAUGAUGCAUGUUUAUUAUCUCACAAAGAGGCAAUUUACAUGAAAUACACACGGUAGAUGGCCCAGCAGCUUUUGUAGAUAUACUAUCACCUCCGUAUGAUGCAGAUAUUCCAGGAUUUGGACCUAGACCGUGUAGAUAUUUUAGGGAAGUAAGUCAUUCAAAUGAAAAUCUCGUGAGCAAAUUGAUCACAAUUCCAAGUCCAUCUGAUUAUUGGAGUGAUACUGCCCCGUACACAGGUCCUUCAUGUAAUAGUGAUGAAUGACACUACUUAUGAUUCAACUAAAGUAUUUCAGGCAAGUAAUAUCCCAGGCAGUACUCCAGACUAUUGGCAGAUGGCUUAUUAAAUUAAGUUCUAUGAUGAUAAUUUUGUAGCGCUGGCCUGCAAAGCUCAAACUGAUCUAGGCAAUUUUUACUUACAUAAUUGACUAUCUAUAGAAGAAUAAUUCCUAGUCAAUAAUUUCCAUAGUUCAAUCAAUUAUUCUGAUAUCAGUCGCCGUUCUAUUUUAAUGUAGUAUUGUUCAUUAUCUUUGAAAAAUAAUUAUUGCAUAUCUGGAAAUUGCUAUCCAACGAUCCUUUUUAGUAUUUUUGUAGUAUCUAUGAUCUAUGAAUUAAGAAUAAAUGUAUUUUUAGUCCAAACUCGAA